CCCAGCCUGGGGUGGGGGUGGGUGGCUGACCAGGCAGCCGCAGGCAUGCUCCUGGAUAUUCAGUGGGAUGUCUGCUUCCUCUUACUGCUUCAAAGACCAGACUAUGUCCUCUCUCAGGAAUCCUGGGAGCCAUGGACUGUCCCUGAGGGAGGGCAUUGCACUGUACUUUGAAACCCUCCAGGACUCACCCACACUCCUUAAUGUGGCCACUUUUCAGGCACUGGCUACUAGCCAUCCCCUCCCCCGCUCCCUCCCUCCCUUGCUCCUUCCCUCCCUCUCACGCAGGUCCAGCCGCAGUGAACUCCCUACUCACUUCGAAUCUACUUGACUUCAUGCCUCUGAAUGUUUGUAUGGGCUCGCUUUCCUCUAUCUCUUCUUCCUGGUGCAAACUCUUGUUCAUCCGUGGACUGCAAGCUCUCACUCAAUUGUAAGCACCAUGAAAGAAAAGGUUGAGCUUAUUUAAUACUUUAUUUCCCCCAGUCUACAACAUUUGGCACACAGUAGGUAUUGAACCAAUGUUUACUGACUGACUGACUGAUGUAUGCUUCAAAGUCAGCUCAUUUUCACUCUAAAGCCUCAAUUCUCCAACCCCCCCUAGAUAUUUCCCUGGGGCCCACACCACGCCGAGAGUACCUUUGGUUGUGAGUGCUUGCCUACUUUGUCUUCUUCACCAGGCAGAGAACCUCUUGAAGCUGGAACCGUGUCUGAUUAAUCCUUUUACCUGUAGCGUCCAGUUCAGGCCCUGGCAUCCAGCAGCGUGGGGUGCAGCAAAUGUGGGGCCCUUGCCAGCAGCCUGGCUUGGUGACUUGAAAUCCCCUGUCGGUCCCAACUGCAUGCGCCAGUCCAAGCUGUUGGCAACAUCUGCCUCAGAGUCUCAUUUGCAAUUACACGUUCUCAGGCUCUUGCCACUUAAUAUUUAAUAACCAGGCGGCUGGCCUUCUCUGGCAGCCACUUAAGUCCCUGAUUGCCUCUUGUCUGAACUUGGCCCCAAGUGAGGCAGGGGCUGCUUUGAGGUUAAGUGUAAAGUCUGUGUCCCGAGUCGGGGGCUAGCAUAAGCCAGACCCUUGGGGAUGGAGGAAGGAAUGCCUGCUGGCUUGAGGCUCCUGGGUGACCUUACCAGGCAAAAGGCUGGUUGGGCAUUUGCUCCAACUGGCUCCACCUUGCCUCCCCUGCCAUGUAGGUCUAAGGCCACUCCUGGCCUCAUAGCAGGGGAGGAGGAAGAGAGGAAAAUUGUUCAUGAGAGGGUCCCUGACUCACAUCCGAUUGGUCCAGGAGGAAGAAAGGGGGAUUCCGCCUGGGCUGUGUCCCAGCAGGAAAGGUGGUUCUGUCCUGUGCGGCUUGGCCACCAGGAGCCAGGGCAGUCCCUGUGUGGGCCUGUGGCGCCACGGAGUUGGGCUCUGGCAGCUGUGCCAGCCUCUCCUGGCACAAGGCUGGGGAGUCUUUCCAAGUUGGCUGUGGAAGGAGAUGAGGCAAUGGUGAUGACCUGACCCUAGGGAUGGCCAACCCUGGGAAACCCUGCAGGCCCAGGGAGGUGUGUCCUCUGCAGAACUGCUGUGGUGAGAGGGUGGAGAGAGGCCAAGUGGCGUGCGAAGGUCACGGGAGGCUUCAGGAAGGUAACAGCAAGCACAGCGGCUCGGAGGCUGGACUCUGCUACUGAAGCCCUGAGGUCCAGAGAAGGACUCCCACCUGGAAUCUCAGACUUUGGAUCCCAGAGGGCAUUUUACAGGGUCAAGAGACUGGCUUUCCAGGUCCCACUCUGCCCCUAACAAGCCCAGUGACCUUGGGCAAGUCAUCCAGAUUAUACUGUCACCGCACGUGUUGGGCAGCACGACGGCCUUGGGGUCCUUCCUGCUUGGAGUCCUCUGUUCUCCCCUCAGAGCUCAUUUGGCCAGCCCAGGAAUCUGAGACCAGAAAUGCUGCUCCGUUGGUCUGCAGGGCUGGUCCCUUUAGAAGGUGGUGCUUAGUAUAGAACACGAUGAUUUCCCAAUCGGCAGUGUUUACAGCACUUACUGUGUGCAAGGGGCCGUGCUCAAUACGCCAGCUGCCAGCAUACUCAGUCUCAGUCAUCUGUGCCAUCCUGGUCCUUUCCGUUUCCCUCUCCUGCUCAUCAUCCUCAUGCCCUGUGACAGUAUCUUUAAGACCCAGCCCAGCCCUGGCCCACAGUCUCAUCCCACCUUCCCCUGCACUACCCCCUUAGACCACCAUCUACCAGCCUCCUUUCAGCUCCCCUGCACCACCUUGGCCCCUGCAAUCCAUCCCCCACCAGCAACCAGGAGGCCUUUGAACCAUGGAAAUCAGACCACGUCCUUCUUCUGCUCCGAACCUUCAGGGGCUGCCAUGGCGCUUCCAGUCAAACUGAACCCUACAGCCACGCGGCUCUACACAGCCAGUGCCUGCCUCUUCUCCGUCCUGAGGUUGUCUCGUCUUUGCUGCCCACUCCGCUUCAGCCACACUGGCCUCCUUCCUCUCCUCGGACGUGCCCCUCGAGUCCAACCUUGGCCCUUCAAGGCUAUCGAUGUCACCUGUGCUUUAGUUCAAAUGCCACCUCUAGAGUAUCCUUCCUUCAGUCUCUAAAAGACCCCUCCUCCUUAUACCCCCCACUUGUUAUCCUAUUUUCAAAUUUUAUAGCACUUGUCACUUUCUCAUGGUUCUCUUAUUUAUUUAUGCGCACUCUCCCCCACCUGGAAUGCAAACUUCAUCAGAACCAGACUUAGUGCCUGCUGUUCCCUGCUGGCCCCCAGUGCCUAGAAGGCUCCUGACACGUGGCAGGGACUCUAUGGGAUUUGUCAGAGGAGUGAUGACAUGGCCUUGAGGGAUGAGAUGGAGUAGUAGUAUCUCAUUUAAUAGAAAGCCCAGCGAUGCUAGGUGCCUGUGCAACUUACCAGACUUGUAAAGGGUGGAGUUGGGAUUCAAACCCCCGACUGUAGAGGGCUCCAGCAUCUGCGCUUUUAUUCAGGGGGCUGAAUACUGUGGCCAUGGUCAGAGCCUCUGAGUCCCAGGAACUCAGAGUUCAAUCAGGGGUGAGGGACGGGGAGGCACUGGCACUGGCGGUGUCUGGCAUGUGCUUCUUGAUUUUGCCCCCAUCUGGGAUCCUACCUUAAGGUCUAGAAUGAGGCCCAGCCUUGCCCUCACCCCUCUGCCCAAAGGCCACCCCUGCAGCUCCUGUCCCCCCUGCUGGCUUAGCUGUGGGUCAGUGAGCUCAUCCUCUGCCCACCCUGCGGGUUUCCAACGCUCCCUCCCUCUGCCGCAGUCGUUGCUACACAAGUUAAUGGAAUAACAAGACACUUUACCCAUUAUCUGAUGCAAAUACCUUUCCUCGCCAGCACCAGCUCUACAGCUCAGAUCUUCCUGUAACACAGCCCAAAGGCCUCCCGCUCCAGGCUCCAGACGAGGAGGCCAGGGCACCAGCCAGGCACAUACAACCCCCUAGCUCGAGCCCUGGAAGGAGGAGUUAGCGAUGUUCUGCUGAGCGAAUACGGGGUCGUGGCACCAAUCUUAGCACGUUUCACCGGUGACUGUAUAUUGAGGCCCACUGUGCACAGGCAGUUUGCAUAUUUCACCUUCACAUGGUUACAUACAAUUCUGAUCCUCAUUGGGCAGUAGUGGGGAUGAAAGGCACAUCCAAGUCUGCGCAGCCCUCAAGUGGUGGAUCCAGGUGGGUUUCAUACCCACACCCCUGACUUGACCCUCUUCCUAACCACUUCCCAAGAACUUUGAGUGGUCCCAUUUAGACCCAAUUUCUCUAAUUGCUCCAUAGUAGGAGUUCUAUUUACAGACAAAGAAGAUGAAGGGGGUGGUAGUUUGCUCAGCCACAUGAUAGUAAGUGGGACUCUAUGCCCAGGAAGGUGGAUGUGUGAGUGUGGGGAUGUGGCUGGGACAGGAGAGCUCCCAAAGCUUGCCCCCUGGGAAGCUCUGUCCUGAGACCCACCCCACCCCCGGCACCAAAACAUACCUGGCCUAGUUCACAUUCAGUGCUACAGGCGUGUACAGGGCACCCAACAGUCAUGUACAGGGCAUGUAAGCAGGCAUGUGCUGGGCACUUAGCAGGUGCUGGGGUCACCCAGAUCAAGGUGGACCUCCCCCAAACCAUUGCAUGAAUCUCAGAGAAUGGUAGGACAGAUGGCCCCUCCCUGCCCACCUGUUGAGGAUGUGAAGUUCUCCCCCACCCCAAUGUGGCUGUCACACGCCAUUUCUCUGAACACACCUCUAUAACGUUGUGUACCCACUUCCCUCUUCCAAGAGCAGCAUUCUCAACACAUACCCAGAAAACUCCUACUCAUCCAUCAAAGCCCGUCUCUCAAGGGCGCCCCCUCUAAGAAGGCUUUUCUAACCAACUUCCUUUUUUUGGGUUAAAAGUCCCUUUCCUGUGCUUCCCAAGCACAUGCAGGCCCCUUCCUGGGGGCACAUGCCUAUGAAUUUCAUAACCUGUGUUUGCAUCUUCCUUUCACACUAGACUGUGGGCUCCAGGAUGGAGUUGGUUGGAAGCAGUCAGAUAGCAUGCUCUGGAGCCUCCACCUGAGUUCUAAUCCUAGCUCUGCCAUUUUCAAGCGAUGCACUGUUGUGCAAGGGAACUUAAGCUCCCUGUGCCUCAGUUUUCUCCUCUCUAAAAUGGGGAGGAUAAUACUGUGACUUCUUCUAUAGAGUUGUGCUGAGGAUGAAAUGGGAAUGAAGCACCUAAAAGAGGACCUAGCACACAGUAAGUGACCAACCGACAGCCAUUUUUAUUGUUGCUCCGGGUCCCACAGAGCGGCUCUUCUCAGGUCUAUUCUCCUGACAGGUAAGGUGCCAGUUCUGUCUAGGUCAGAAUCGUGCCUCAGCCAGCGGUUCUCAAACUCCUGUGUGCUUCAGAAUCCAGUAGCGUCAUGUGAAAAAUGCAGGUUAGCCAGUCACCACAGGUCUGAAUGGGCCUGGGAAUGGGCUUUCUAGAAAGCUCCCUGCAUCCCAUUCUGACGCAGGUGGUUUACAGCAGGACUCAAACCCACUGCUCUCGGGAUCACCAAUGAGACUUUGUCAUGGGAGCGAGACUCCUGGUGACCAGCUCCUCCUCAUCGCUAUGAAGGGAGGUUUAGGAGGUAGCACAGUAGUUAAGGCCUUGCCAGGAGACCUGGGUUCAAAUCCUGGCUUCCCUCUUCUGGGCAAAUGGCUUCCCGUCAUUUCCUUUUCUGAGACGUGGUGGUCCCACAGGUCCCUUCUCCCUGUCUGAGGGUUGGAUGAGUGCUUAUCCAGAGUGGACCUGAGACACGUUGCAUACCCAGCGAGCAGGGGCGGCCACCACCUUCACCCUGCAGCAGUUCGUCUUCUGAGGCUUUGUCCCUGAGUGUUUUGUUUUCUGUGGAUAGAUUCUGGCUCAUGUUCGUGGGCCUGCCCUGCAUACAAAUGCCAAGAGGACUGGCCCGCCCCUGGGAUCUGUCCUCGCCUGUCCUCGCCAAGCACCCAGCUGCGAGUUCCCAGCAGGGCUCGGAAGUCCCGGGUCCUCCUGUGAAGCUGGGACCACCAUGCUGGUCCAGCCUCCUUGGUUGUGGUCGUGGCCAGAAGCAGUCAGACUGCUGGUCCCUUUGAGAGCGGGCGUCCCUGGGAGAGUGGCCGCCGGGAGGUCUUCGGGGAAAUUGGGCGCCACCAGGACAAUUGGUCGCUGUUUGGGGGAGUGAGGUUGGCAGGCCCUUGGCCCUCAGCACUGAGCCUCUGCCAGGCCCCUGCCAAGCCUGCGGCCGGUUUCCCACUGCCUGCCAGUUUCAGGGCCAUUCGGGGAGGGGGCCCAGGGGAAUUCAUUGCUCCUGUCUUCAGCAUCUUUGCUGGGGUCCAGGAAGCCUGGGCAGUGUCCAUUCUCAGAAAGCAGGUCAGCACAGCCACAGACAUGCUCUGAUGAUGCCCACUGUCUACCAGGCUAGGGGCGGGAUACUUAGAACCAGCCUUCCAGAUGCCUUAGAGACCCCUCCAAUGGGCUGCCAGGGGCCUCACAGGCCAUGGCAAUGCAGAAGGCCUGGCUGGCUUGAGCCCUGGGUGCAUGUUAACUCUGGGUGGCCCUAGUCAAGUGCCUUGGCUGGUGAAACAACUGAACAAAGCCUCUACCCCCCUGCAA